AGUGAACGCUGGCGGUAGGCCUAACACAUGCAAGUCGAACGGCAGCACAGUAAGAGCUUGCUCUUACGGGUGGCGAGUGGCGGACGGGUGAGGAAUACAUCGGAAUCUACUUUUUCGUGGGGGAUAACGUAGGGAAACUUACGCUAAUACCGCAUACGACCUACGGGUGAAAGCAGGGGAUCUUCGGACCUUGCGCGAUUGAAUGAGCCGAUGUCGGAUUAGCUAGUUGGCGGGGUAAAGGCCCACCAAGGCGACGAUCCGUAGCUGGUCUGAGAGGAUGAUAGGCCAGACUGGAAAGUAGACGAGAGCGAGACACAGAGGGAAGGCAGCAGUGGGGAAUAUUGAAGAAGGGGUGCAAGCUGGAUCCAGCUAUAACGGGUGAGGAAAGAAGGCAUUCGAGUUGUAGAGUGCUCUGGGGGCGAAAGAAAAGCAGAAGGCGAAGAACGCGGUGCUCUGAGGGUACCAAAAGAAUAAGCACCGGCGAAGUGUGGC
rnacentral:rRNA from 1 species